GAAAGACAUAGUCCAGCAGAGAGAGGGUGGGGGUUCUGGAGGCGGACGUGGGGCAGGCAAGGGACAGGCAAUGAGGGAGCAUGGAGCAUGGAACCAGGGUGAAGUGGAUGGAGGGAGGAGCCAGGGAGGAGCCCGGAGCAGGAGGAGCCAGAUGGGAAUCCAGAGACCAGCCAGGAUGAUGACCCACGGGCUUUCUCAUAAAUUGAGUAAGAAAGAGAGAAGGCCAGGGACAGAAAGAGAGUGACUGGAGAUAGAAAGAUUCAGGAUGAUCAAAAGACUGGGACAUCCCCCCAUGAAUGACAUCUUCUCCAGUUUCAGAAAGCUGCAUUUCAAUGUGACAACUGACCCUUCGAAAAAGAAUGAAAAACAUAAAAUAAAAUACUUU